rnacentral:tRNA from 1 species
GGACGCGUGGCGCAAGAGAGAACGCGUCGGUCUAUGAAACAGAUGAUUGUUGGUUCGAAUCCUGCCGUGGUCG